UGGGGAAUUUUCCGCAAUGGGCGAAAGCCUGACGGAGCAAUACCGCGUGAGGGAGGAAGGCUCUUGGGUUAUAAACCUCUUUUCUCAGGGAAGAACAGAAUGACGGUACCUGAGGAAUAAGCAUCGGCUAACUCCGUG
rnacentral:rRNA from 1 species